rnacentral:rRNA from 1 species
UACGGAGGGUGCAAACGUUGCUCGGAAUCAUUGGGCGUAAAGCGCACGUAGGCGGCCCGCUAAGUCGGAUGUGAAAGCCCUCGGCUCAACCGAGGAAGUGCACCCGAAACUGACGGGCUUGAAUAUGGAAGAGGGUCGCGGAAUUCCUGGUGUAGCGGUGAAAUGCGCAGAUAUCAGGAGGAACACCGGUGGCGAAGGCGGUGAUCUGGGCCGACACUGACGCUGUAGAGCGAAAGCGUGGGGAGCGAACAGG